rnacentral:rRNA from 1 species
CCAAACUGUUGCCUCGGCGGGGUCACGCCCCGGGUGCGUCGCAGCCCCGGAACCAGGCGCCCGCCGGAGGGACCAACCAAACUCUUUUCUGUAGUCCCCUCGCGGACGUUAUUUCUUACAGCUCUGAGCAAAAAUUCAAAAUGAAUCAAAACUUUCAACAACGGAUCUCUUGGUUCUGGCAUCGAUGAAGAACGCAGCGAAAUGCGAUAAGUAAUGUGAAUUGCAGAAUUCAGUGAAUCAUCGAAUCUUUGAACGCACAUUGCGCCCGCCAGUAUUCUGGCGGGCAUGCCUGUCCGAGCGUCAUUUCAACCCUCGAACCCCUCCGGGGGGUCGGCGUUGGGGACCUCGGGAGCCCCUAAGACGGGAUCCCGGCCCCGAAAUACAGUGGCGGUCUCGCCGCAGCCUCUCCUGCGCAGUAGUUUGCACAACUCGCACCGGGAGCGCGGCGCGUCCACGUCCGUAAAACACCCAACUUCUGAAAUGUUGACCUCGGAUCAGGUAGGAAUACCCGCUGAACUUAAGCAUAUCAAUAGCCGGAGGAA